GGAAACAAGGAGGGGAAAGUGAAAGUGGCUGAAGAAAAAUUAAUAGCAUGAGGAAGAAAAACCCAAAGCCACUUAUCAUAAAAUAAAAAGGCAUUUAUAUGAGUAUCAAAGAAGCAAGAGGCAAGGGAAAAAAAAAAAAAGAUGGUGAGAGCUGUUUUCCUGACAAAUUGCCACAUGUACCAUGCAGCUGGCUAUGACUGCUAGGCAGACACAGCACCAGAGCCCGGGACCCAACACAACUCUACCGCAAUAGAUGCAGGCAGGCCAGCCCCUACCAGGCAGGCUUCUCCACAGCCUGCAAACCCUUAGACGAUGCAGGCUGAUGUCCUGUGUACCACAGGCAAUUACAUCUCAAAAUACUUCUUUAUUUUAGCCCCAAAUCUUGUGUUUGCUUCAGGUACCUAAAAGGAUGUCUGGCCUUAAAUGAAAGCCACCAAAAGAAGUCUGGAUUUUGUUUGAAUGGGUGGUCACCACCUUCUGGCAUCUCAACAGAAGGCUGCUGCCCACGGGGUCUAAUGGCUCAGGCCUGGCUUCCUGCCUUGGACUGCUCCUGGACCUGGCAGGGCUGUGGCCAGCAUCUCCUGACAUACCACAGCCUCUGAAUGUCUCUGUGUUACAGAGCUUCUCCACAAGCAAUAAUGCUCACCCUACUAUUGAUCUGAGUUAGAUAGGAAUUUGUCUCCAAGAUAGGGAAGGCUCCAUAUGUCAUUACCAUACUGCUCAAGUCAUCCACCCACUUCGAUCUGCAAGGCUGUUAUCACACUGAUUGCUCUAUGUACACCUUCCAGGAGUGACUUUACAGUCAUCUACUCACCCAGAGUCAUAAUUAGAGUCAGGAAUGUACUAUUGCAAAAGAGAUUUAAUAUUCAUUUGAAUCCUUAACAUUAAUUUGCUUCAGUUGUGUGCCAGCCCCCUUUCCAUAUUUGCUUUCAACGAAUAUUUUAACAAAUUAAUUUUCUGGCAGGAAUCUUUGUGGAAAUGGUAAGUUUCAAAUCAGUACUGGGGAAUGCUCUUGGGGAAGAAAUUUAGUGUUCAUAACUGUGUGUAUUCUCAACAGAAACCCAAUAGUAAGUGUUCUUCUUAUUCAACCCCACAUGCUAGGCUGCAGUUCAAGGGUCCUCCACUCAGUCCCUGUCUCUGCCAGGCUCCCUGUCUGAUCCUGGGCAACUCGAGCAAUCUCUCCCUGGGCCAGCACAGCUAUGCACAAGAGGUCAGGGCCUGCAGCCCCCUGAAAGCCUAACCCUCUGAUGGUGACUGUACAGAGAUGCUUCCUGGAGUCAGUAAGAACACGGGUAUGGCGGCUGAGCACAGGGAAAGUCUACAAAUAUGUGCUUUUAAUUGGGGCUGGCCAACUCAGGUUAGAAAAAACAGUGAGGGCUCUCAAAUUGCUUUGGGUUUAUCUGAUUUAAUCUUAAUAAUCUAGCUCAGGUUAGCAAAUCUGAACUAAGAACAUACUUGCAAUUUUUUUGCUAUGGAAAUAGCCAUCAACCCUAGUCUUUCCCACCACUGAGAUCAUAAAGGCUAUAGGAAAGUCUUUACCUUUUCUUCCCAUCCCUAAUUACAGUACAAUCUAUUCCCUUUUUAGACCAGAAUCAGCCUUUAAAGUCUACCCCUUCCCCUACAAAAGACCAUAGAAUAUAUUUGCGAAAUUAAAAAAGUUAUCUGAAGUCCCUAUCUUACAGCUCCCUUUGCAAGGAAAGUGCUCAGCCACACCAAUCGGUGAUUUCAUCAGUUCUUUCUGCAAAUGCUGGGGUUUUUCUUCUGUAUGAGAGAGGUUGAAGAAUUAAGGAAAUCAUAUUCCAUUUGAACUUUCUGCUGCUGUGACUCUUUUCUCUUCUCUUUUACCUCUUUCCUCAUUCAGCCUAGCAGCAUACCCUUUCCUUUUUUUUCUACAUUCACCUAUUCCUUUUUCUACCUCCUUUUUAAGUCUGCGCUGUGGCCUUCUCACAGAAAUGCAAGAAGAGAUGGUAGCACUUUAUCCAAUUAUUUCUUCACAGUGAUACAUCAGACCUCACUAGAAGCUGUGACUGGCUGCACUUGGGCUUUCCCUUCUCCCCUAGCAAGUCCCAGGAUGGAAUGUUUGUGCCAUCACAACUUCUGCCUGUACAUUGCCACUACUCCUCCACCUCCAUGGCACCCAAUUUUCUGUCCUCUGCCACUCCGUGCUCAUCGUUCUCUUUGGUUUUCCCACUUCAGUCAGAUUCUUCCUCUCUCCUUCUUAUUUCUCUUUCUUCACCCUUGGCUGCAAGCCAGAUGUCUCAGGUCUGAUGGGUGAGUGGGUGGGUGUGCAGAGAGAGAGAGAGAGAGAGAGAAGAAAAAGGAAAAUAUCCCAAGUCCAAAGGUCUGCAUAGGAUUAAGCCCCAUUUGCCCCAGACGGUUUGAAGGCAAGAAAGAAAGAAUUCAGACACAGCAAGGACUAGAUAGACUUUCCAAGUAAGCAAGUAAUGCCAGAAAAUAUAUUGGACUAAUUUCAUUCACAUGAUACCAAUGCAAAUUGCUGGUGGCAGGGAUCAAGGCUGGGAUUUUCAAAAGGGCUAAAGCUCAUGUUUUUAAAAGCUCUUUACUGACUUAGGAGUCAAAGUCCCAUUUUCAAGAGGAAGUUAAGAGCAAAAAAACCCUUCUGAAGCCAGUCCUAAUUCUACCAGUCAGACUGGCAUUCCCAGAUCCUGACUUUGCUGCCACCUCAUUUUCAUGGGGAAAGUCCCCAAGAUCUCUCUCAGUGGGUAGGCACGGGCUGUCUUGGCAGCAGUGAGCAGCUCCGUGGUGCCCACCUCCCACCUAAACCCCAGGAUGAAUCAGAAAUAGGGUGAUCGCCCACUGGGUCUGGUUGGUACACAAUGAAUGCACAUAAGCCUCAUCAUACCCCGUGCUUAGUGUUGCCACUGUCCCUCAAACACCAUCAUCACCUGAACUUGGAGCAAUAUUUAAAUGUGGAGUCUCCCACUUUUAAGACACAGCAUUGUUGCUGGCUGCAAGGCAUACUGAAGGGUCUUGCCAUACUCUUCCUGCUGAAGUUCCUUUGCUUUGUGUAAAGUACUGAAAGAUUUACUGGGGCCAAGAGAAAUCCACAAUGAUUCCAUAGCCUAGAGAUCAACCUUUCCCCAGAGGUGGGAAGCUCGUUUUCAAAACCCAACCCUGAGACUUGAAGAAUAUUUAGGGAGGGAAAAACAUAUCACCUCUCUUCUGGUUUUCUUGUGGUUUGUUUGUUUGGUCUUUAUAUGAGAUAGCCUUAAUUCUGAGGGGACUAAUGGCAAGGUGAGGGAAGAGUCAUAUCCAGAGGUAGACACCUACUGUGUUAUGGCAAUGCAAGGCAGGAUAGGAAAGUCCUGUCCUUCCCUCUCACCAUGGAUGUGUUGGUCUGGGCAUGCCCAAGAUAACUCAAGAACUCUGGAAGCUGUGUAUACUGUUCUAUAAGUGCCUACAUCUCCCUCACCAAAAUUCAGUGGCACUUGCUAUCUCCCAAGUCAUUUAGAGUACAAAUUUCAGAGGUAUCUUAGGGUCAGAUGUUUACAGAUAUUUACACCUCCAAACUGCACUUACAUAAAAUAUUCCUCAGUGAAUUAGGAAUGCAGUCUGCCAUUUUUCAAUUUAAUUUUUGCCUCUGCAUUCUAGAGAUGCCGUUUGAAAAUCCUAGUCUUGCAAAUACAGUUAGCAAUAAGCACCAAAAGACUGAUUUUGAAACAGCUCCCCAUCCACACUCGAGGACACAUUCUCACAUGCGCCCAGCUCCCUGGCUGACACAUCAGUGAAAUGCCCAGAUUCUCAAAUAUGCCAAGCACACCCAACUAUUCUUCAUCACCCUGUAUUCUUUUUGGGAAGGGCAGAAUUCAUCACUGCUUUUCUGAAGUGGGCUUGGUGUUGAGUUCUUUUGAAAACCAGGCCCUACUAUUUACUACUUCUCUGAACAGCUCCAGUCUUUUAAUAUUUGCUGGCAGAAACAGUACCUUUGUCUCCAAGGUAGCUUCAUCUCCCUUCCCAGAUAUUGUUUCUGACUUCAGUAGCAGUAAAGGUAGAUCAACCAGUCAUUUUGAAAAUCCCACCCUCUAUAUUAUGUCUCAGCAACUCAACACCAAUUAGAUUUUGGAUCUUGAAUCUUUUCAACAAACUGGCAGUUAAUGAUCUAUAGGCAAAGACCGUUUGACAGGCAUGGCUGAAAUGUAAAGCCAUAUGUGAAAAUCACCAUCUUUUCACAUACAACUUGUGAAGAGAAAGAGGAAAAUAUGAAUCAAAUUAGCUAUCAUUACAAAUAGUGGUCUGGAAAUGAAACACAGAUGUUUUGAUGGAGAAUGGGUUUUUUCGUAACACAAUUCUUCUGAAAAGCGCCCAUUCUGUAUGAAAAGGAUCUUUUUUUUCCCCUGAAGAACUGAUUGUUCAAAAUAUUAAAGUAUUCCAACCAUGCACAAAGACAUCUCUGCAUGCCUUUGCAAUGUUCCAUGGGAGCUGGAUUUUGUUCUUUGGUGUUCAUCUAAGCCAAACUCCUUAAAUGAAUUACAUUUCAAAUGUAAUAUAUCUAUCAUCUUUAAGGGAGGAGACCGUAGAUGAUCAGUCCAAAUAGAAGCCAGGUUUAAAGAAACUUAAAGAAUGAAGUUUAAAGCCAGGUACUAUGGCAGGUUUUCCAGACUGAAAUAUUCUGGUCUUUUACCUAACAUUUUCUUGUUAUUAAUCUUUUUCUUCCCCCCUUCACUGUAGUUACAAUUCUUUUCCUUGCUCAGUGUUUAUGCUAUACAUGAGUCACUAACAGUCAUGUGAUAAGCAGAAAAGUAAUUUGAGAAAGGUCCACUAGAACAUGUACAUUUGGUCCACAGUACUUGGACCCAUGUCCAUCUCUGUGGCAGAAUCCUCUUAGCCCUACACGAUUCAAAUAAGAGCUAAGAGUAGGUGAAAUUUCCAGCCCAUAUCCAUAUGCCCACAAAUACAAAUCUCCAGCCAGACAAGUGCGUUCCUCCUUCUCCUAAAAGGUCGAGGUUUUUCACUUCCAUGCCUCGUUCCUCCCACACCUGCUGCCUUCACAAAGCCACAGCUACUAUCCAAGAAGAAUCAUACUAAACUGAGAUUUAGGACCAGUAUGUUCUGCACCUACAACUACUAAAAAGUCUGCUAGCUUGUCUCUCAUCUAAACUGGCAAGAUGUGGUUUGUAAGGGAUUUCCCUUAUUAGGCUAACCAGUAUCAUUUGAAAAAGCAGAUGAGCUUUCAGGACAUCUCAAGGGCCUUUCUUUCAGAUCUAAAACAUAAGCAGCAGAAUUCAAAACUAAAAACAAAUUUUAAAAAAAUUGCCUGGAGUUUAAUUUAACAUGUACCAGUGAGGCCAUCUAUUUAAGAAACAGCAACUGGUGCAGAGUGUAUAUAGAGUAUAUUAAGAGUGGCAAGGUGAUAAUCUUUGCAAGACUGAGGAGAAGAAAUCGUUUAUAGCCAGUGGAAUAUGAAGGUGCUGUAGGUGGGGUAGGAAUUUCAAGUGUACCUUUGACAUUGAACAUUAACAGAUGUUAGUCCCCAGGCAUGAAAAUGGAAAAUAUGUUUUUUUCAGUACAAAACCACUUUGAUGCUUGAGCUGGGAGAGCUCCACAAGAUAAAUUAUAGGACUGGACCAGUAAAUUUGCAUGUCUCAUUUUUGGGGGACACACAGAAGGACUCUGAACUCCAGGCGCCAGCAAAUUUGAUAGCGAAGCACAGGCUUGUCCAGAUUCCCUAGCUGACCUGUGGGAGAAGAUGCCUGCUCUCCUCUGACAUGCCAUGUGGCUACAUGAAAAAAUCCUUGUGGUUCCUGAUCCCUCCAAAUAAGGAACACUAUCUUUACAGCCACUCCAAACAGAGAACCAGAACAGUGCAUAAUGUGGCAUGACUCCUUCCUAAGAUUUUCUAAAUCAAGUAAAACGGAAAAGCGGUCAAGUCCAGAAUAGAGCUAGGCUUAAUAAGUUUCAAUAAGAAACAAAGAAAGCACUGUUUUGCACUGUAUUGUUCAGGCUUGCCUUUAGGCACAUGUAGAAAAAUGUUUACUAAAUAACCCAAAUACUUAGCAGUAAGAUGCAUUUUAUUUCACACUGAAUUUUCUGCAAGUGUACACAUGCCAAAAAGGAAGCAAAAGGUCAUCAAAUUAUUCUGGGUACCAAGCUGUCAGUGCUGUUCUGCAGAUGCAAACCCCUCCAUUGCACCACGAAUGAGCCAUGUAAAAACACAAACCAAACAGAUGCUUUUCCCCAAAACAAAACUAGAAACCAAAAAAGUGUACCAUCCUGCAUUACAAACAGGAACGGCAUGGAGAGGAUUCAUGCCUUCAACCAUGUGUUGUAAGACACAUAACGGGAUUGCCUCUUUAAUACGUGACUAGGACCCAUGAUCUGAGAUCAAACCUCAGUCUGCCAGUUACUGACACUCCCAAGGAUUUGAUGGGCUUUAGAUACAGACAUCUUCCAAAUGAGGUGAAUCCUCAUUGCUUGAUGGUCAACGCUGUAUCAGAUUCUGCCAGUCAUUCAGAAACUCUGACUGCACAAAUAAAACUACAUAACUUAAAAAGCAAGACUCAGCAUGACUACUGCUCUUCCUCAAGUUAUAUCCACUGAUGUCACCCAUCUAUCAAAGGUCUGCCCACUUCACACUCACCCUUCUCGCUGAAUCUUGACAGGAGGAGCCUUUGAAAACCACUCACAAUACAUUCAGCAGUGAACAUGGACCACAAACUGGGAUAUGUCUCCAGUGCCAUGAGUGACAAGCAGACCAGAUCUAUAUCUUAACACCACGCUCCCAGAUUUCUUGUGGGGUCAAAUGUUUUUUGUGAUUAAGCUCUGGGGCUGGUUUUAACUUCAGAAAUGUAGUGUUGUUCGGGAAUGAGUGCUUUGGAGGACUUCCAAAGCUCACCAAAGAAAAGAUUAAAAGUCCUAUUGAUUGCCAUUGGGCAAGAUCAAGUCAUCAGGAACCAUUUCUCUUCUUACACUGCCACUGCUGCAGAAAUUAUCCAAUGUUUUCCUACAGGUUCCCAGAUUCAGGCUCUGUCCUCUGCAAGACACCGCUGGGAACACCUGUAACAUCCCCUUUCAGUAGGAAAAGGCCCUCAAGCUCUGACCUUCAAGGCAUGCCAGAAGUCAAGGGUACCGUUGGCAACUUUCACCUGUACAGUCUGCUAUACUACUUUUUUAUUAUCUAUAGCUUGAGUUAAGCUUAUUAACACUAAUGCAGCAUCAACCUGAAAUUCAAAGGGUUGGAAUGUCAGUUCCACAAUAUAACUAAAGUGACACCCCUAAAUAAGCAUGAAUGAGCUUUGAAAUGGUACCAAAGAGACAUUUUUACCACUAACACGGAAUCAAACGUGAAUUAUAAACUCUUCCCUUUCCCCACACCCUGCCAUGAAGAAUCACAACUCAGAUUCACCCACAGAUGGCAGUACUUCAGUGGCAAACACAGUUAUGCAAUAACCACGCUGGGAUCCUGCAGAGCAAAAUUGGUUGCAAAAGAAUUUAUGCACAUAUACUGGUGUUAAUAUGGUUCCUUAGUCAAAAUGGCUGUGAAAUGAGUGAAAAAAAAGGGAGUGAGUUUCUCUGGAUUAAAGAUAUUGCAAAAGGAGAACAAGAAUGAAUAGUGGCCUGUAGCCACUUCUACCAAGGUAAAAUGUGGAAUAUUACCCGAUUUAAAAUCACGAAAUUGAAGAGAAUUAGCUGACAGUCAUUUUUCAGUUCCUCUCCAACUAAGAAAAUGAAAGGAUUUGAUAAGCUAUGGAAACUCACUUACAAAAACCACAGCAUUAAUUCUUGUGAUAAGCAAGCAGUUCUUUUUCUUGAAAGAGUUCAUUGUUCAUAAGUAAUUUAAGGACAAAUUCCAAUUCAGGAAAAUACAUUUCAUAUCAAAAUUCAAUACAACAUCCAAGAGUGAGAGGAAAUUCAGGGCAGCAGGAUUAUGAUUUUAUUUUAGGUCCAAUUCUUGAGGUCUGUUUUUAAUGUUGAUUCAUAAAAAUGUCGUUUUGGUCAAAUACUUUUGAAGCCGUGAUUUGCUAGUGGCUUGGCUCUUUAGGGGAGGGGGAGAACUUGGAAACAUUGUUGGCUUGGCCAGAAGGUAUGAACUUAUUCUUGCAUUUGACCUCCUCUGUACAGCACAGACUCAAAUAUUGAUGCAUCAUAAGUUCCCUGAAAACACACUUGAGUAAGGCUCUGCUGUGUUAGAUGUUGCAUAGCAGUGCCAAGUACAUUGUGUUGGCAAUAACCUGAACAACUCCAUCUUUUUUCCUUUCCCAUGUUCCCCAAAGAGUCCUCAGGUCUUUUUAAGAUGAUGCUUUUGUGUCUUUUUAUUUCAUUCUGAGUGAGCUUUAGAAAGUCUUGUGUUUUCCAGGUUUCCUCUACAAUCAUUUAAAACUGGAAAGUUAAAUUCUCCUGUAACUCCUGGAGUUCAUGAGUUAAGAAAGACCACGACAACUUGUAAAACAUGAAAUAAGAAACGUAUGGUAGAUGCAUCCCUGUUCUAUUCUAUCGUAAUCUGCACACUAAAGAAUUGCUUGGGUCCUGGUCAGUUGGAGGCGGCCAACUGAGGGAACCUGCAACACAGCAUUUCCAGGAGAAUAAAGCUCACCGUGCUCAGGCCAGUGCAGAAAGCACCUCCCUUGUACAGCACGUCAACACCCUAAGAAAUGACUGCCACCAGCUCAGGUUCUUCCCAUUGCACUGCAAUUUGGCAGGGCCCUCUUGGAGCUAUAUAAUCAAGCCCUUAUUUUCCUGCUAGCUUCAUGAUGACUAUGUUUCUCCCAGACCACUCCUUCACUUUCUCAUUUUGCCUCUCCAUUUUCUACCAUUCCCUUAGUAAAGGUUAAGCCAAUUUGGAGCUUUCAAUAGGCAGCAUUCAGUCAUCCAGGAGCCUGAUCGUGUCUGCUUGUCCUCAGAAUGGGCACAGAAAAGGUAACAGCAAUGGAAGCUUUUCCAUGUGCUGUCCCACCCAGGAUGCCAAGCACCUUGACCUGCAGGUCUUCUCCCAUAAGGACAUGAGGAUACUUCAUUAUCUUGUAGCAUCAUUAGGUUGCUCGGUGAGAGCUACAGUGUCAAACAAGGGUGGGUCUGUCAAAUGUUGCCAGUUGGUAUGAGAUCAUCUGGCCAAUGAGACAGCCCAAGGAUCAUUUGCUUUUACCUAGACUUCAAAGGCCACAUUGCUUCCAGCCAAUAACCAAAGUCUCCUUGAUUCACGCAAAUGACCCACAGAUGAGGUACUUCACAUUUCAUUAUUGAACCUCUGACCCACCCAUUGUCCAGUCCCUGUUUUUCCCCUCAACUGUCCAACUGGAUACCCCAAAUAAGUUAAAGCACAGUGCCCGAGAGUCAUACAGUGCUGACUUUCCACUGCUCUAAAGGCAAAUCCUGCACUCGUAUAAACGUUUCUAAACUCCAACUCAAUAAACAGGCCCUUCAUGAGAGUAUAAAAAUAACUGAGCCAUGCUCCAAGACCUUUUACAUUGCUAGAGAGGUGCAAAGGGUGUGUAGUGUAAAUAAGAAUCAGGUUCACAAUUUCUAUGCCUGCUCUUGUUUUCAAUUACACCUAGAUUUGUUUCAGCUUUGAAAUGAAGCUUGAACUGAUGCCAGAUAGUUUUUUUCUUAAAUCCCAACACAUUCCAGAUUAGCUGUGAACAACAGUUACUCUUUUCCAUUCUUAGCCUACCACUUCUAAAAGGAUUCAGAAGAGGAGCUGGUCUGGUGGAGAGGACAUGAUCUCUUUCAAUGAGCACAGGUGCUUCUGUGUUGAAGUAUUAAUCAACCAAAGUCCCAUAUGACCAUUUAAUUAUGUUAGUAUGGCAAGCAGUCAGCUGUGGGGUUUCUUCAGAAGCUCAUGAGGUCACUCCGUCUCUUUAAAGCAAAAAUAAUGACUCUCCAGCAAAUAGUAAGAGUUGGCAGCUGUGAUGUUGAGAUGAUGUAAUUGUACACAGUGGUGAUGUGAGAUUUUUCUUGGUUCCUAGAAGCCAAUACUGAAGAGGUAAUCAUAACAACAACAGUAUUUGCUUAAAAUUUUUGGACAAGAAAGGAGACCAAGUUUCUUGCAAAAUGAACAGUGAUCAUAGAGAGUGAAAGGUCAGAAAUUGGCUGUCAGAAUUGGAAGCGGUUAGGGCCAGGCUCUGGCGCUGAAAAUGCAAGGUAGCAAGCAGUGCAAAGAGCUGACUGUUUGCCCUGCACUAACACACAUAUCUUUAUAUUCUGAGCACCCUGAGCUACCUCCCUCUCCACCCCUCCUCUGUUAAUAGCUGAUUAUCUUCUUAGUUUUGCCAUGGGAAAAAUGAUGGUAUGGAAUUAUUUACUAUUAGUAGGCUCCCCCAGAGCAAAUAUAUGGCACUGUAUACCUUGGCAAAAGGGGGUGGACACAACACUGAAUCAGUGACUCAAAGAACCAGCUUUCUUGGUUUUAUUGGUGUUGGUGAAUUUACUGAAAAAUAACUACUAAAAGAAAGAGCCAUGUUUCUUUUUCUACAGCUUAAGAGAAUGGACUGGAAGGACUAAGCAGGUUGAACAACUGGAUAAUGAAAAUAUCUGGUCACCUUAGCUCUGGGAGGCUUCAAGUGUUUUGCAUCUUGUAGUAUCCGCAUCCUCCUUUACUUCUUAGGUUUGUAACAUAAGAAGAAUGCCACUUAACUGAAACAGGUAAUGCCUGUAAGAAAAUGCAGGGCCACACUAGUCUGGCUAAACUACUUUUGCAAUGUGGCUCAUUCCAUUACAGCUCCUAAUUACUGCUGCACAGAUGCUCUUAUUUAUAAGUGGGGGUAGCAGGCAUACUGCAGCUCUGCUGUAAGUUUCCUAGUCUGCUCUGCUGGUGGAGUUUGAUUUUGGAAUAGUUAGAGAUGGACUCAGUAACCUGGCAAACUGAAAAAAAAAACCCCCAAAAAACCAAAACCCACAACACACCAACAAAAAAACCCCAGAGGUUACUUUACUAAUCCUUAAUAAAGUAAUGAGGAAAUGAGUGGAUUAUUUGCAAUGAUGGCUACUUUAAGUGGUAAAUAAAACUUCUUACACUGUG